rnacentral:lncRNA from 1 species
AUAAGCUGUGAUAGUCGUUGGUUCCGUGACGACGGCUGCAGCAUCUGUUGAGAAGUGUUCUGUGUACUGAGCUUUUAGAGAGUGAAGUAAGCGUUGUUUCGGAAAUGUUAGGCGAUUUUCGAAGUCAUGUACGAGCCCGAAAUAUAAGAGCAGUAUUAUUUAUCGGUGCAAAUAUCGCAAAAGUGAAGUGGAAGUUGCCUUGUCUUCAAGGAGAACUAAUUCGGCAUGGAAAGACAAGUAGUAAAUGCUACUGUGUGGUGAGUAUUUGAAAAUACAAAGAAGUAGCUUGAUGAAGACGGAAUUCCUCCUCCCCCAGUUGGAGGAAAAGAUGACAGACCAAUAAGGAGCUGGAACAGGCCCUAAUGGCUUAAGUCCAGGUGUUACGCAUAGUGUGCCAUGGAGAACCACUGAAGUUCUUGUCUGCUUGACCAGACGCGUAGAGUGGAGUGUAAAAAUAUGUGGUUAUCAGUAAGAUCUGAUUUUAAGAAGAUGAAACUAUUCCGCCUGCAAGUCUGCACGACCAAGUUGAUGAGAGUGAAGUUUCAGAUAGUAAAAAGAAAAUUGUAUGACUUGGAACACACAUUCGUGUGUUGCAGAGUGCAUGAAAAACAUAGCCUACUAUGGACCCGUUCACCUUACCUAAAGGAGGAAAAGGAGGAAAUGCCAUCAAGGAGGGAUAACAGUAGAAAGCUGUGCAUUAAUAAAUUACAGUGACAUUGUAGUACUUCAGUCAGGAUUUCCUAAAUUCUUUAUAGUGAUCCCAAACUGAUCAACAAGCAACAAUGGAAAUUCCACACAAUUUCUAAGGGGAUGUUGUAAAGUGAAGAUGCAGUGGGGGAGUGUCUUAGCUGUAGUUGUUGCACUACAGUAAAUGGUUUCCAAUGAACAAGGACAACAGAUGACUGGAAAAAUGUUAUUUGAAAUUCCAGAGUUCAAGGAAGUUCUGCAACAGUUCCCCAUUGCACACUAAUGUGUGGUAUACAUAUGAGGCAUGUGCUAGCAUGAAAAACAUAGCCUACUAUGGACCUGUUCACCUUACCUAAAGGAGGAAAUG